rnacentral:rRNA from 1 species
GAUGAACGCUAGCGACAGGCUUAACACAUGCAAGUCGAGGGGCAGCACGGGAGUAGCAAUACAACUGGUGGCGACCGGCGCACGGGUGAGUAACGCGUAUGCAACCUACCUAUCAGAGGGGAAUAACCCGGCGAAAGUCGGACUAAUACCGCAUAAAACAGGGGCACCGCAUGGUGAUAUUUGUUAAAGAAAUUCGCUGAUAGAUGGGCAUGCGUUCCAUUAGGUAGUUGGUGAGGGAACGGCUCACCAAGCCGACGAUGGAUAGGGGAACUGAGAGGUUGGUCCGCCACACUGGUACUGAGACACGGACCAGACUCCUACGGGAGGCAGCGGUGAGGAAUAUUGGUCAAUGGGCGGGAGCCUGAACCAGCCAAGUCGCGUGAAGGAAGAAGGAUCUAUGGUUCGUAAACUUCUUUUGCAGGGGAAUAAAGUGCAGGACGUGUCCUGUUUUGUAUGUACCCUGAGAAUAAGGAUCGGCUAACUCCGUGCCAGCCGCCGCGGUAAUAC